GACUCACAUCCCCAAGCGGUACUUGUUUGCCUGGGUAUUACUGCACCUCAGAGGCACGUGUACCAAACCCAGUCAGUGAUGAGACUGGGGGCCUCUGUCCAGCAGGCCAUUACUGCCCACCGGGCAGCAGCAAGCCAGAGCCGUGUCCCACUGGCACGUUUCUGCCUCUGUCUGGAAUGGUUUACCCUAACGCCUGCCUGCCCUGCCCUGGGGGGAAGUUCUGCCGAGGAGAGGGCCUGACCAGUGUUUCUGGUGUGUAUCACGUGUACCUAACAUCUUUUUGGUUUUAAUAUUAUGCUUAACCCUAAUGCUGAAUCUUUUCUUUCUUGCAGGAUUGUGUUAUGCUGGCUAUUUCUGUGAUGCUGGAUCUACACAGCCGGAUCAGAAGCAGUGCCCCCCUGGCUCCUACUGUCCUGAAGGCUCCGAAUCCCCAGUCCCUUGCAGCCCUGGGCACUUCAACUCUGACAGUGGAAAAUGGCAGUCAAGAGACUGCCAGCUCUGCCCUGCUGGGUAUUUCUGUAGUGGUUCUGGAGCACGUACUCCUGAGCUGUGCCCUGCUGGGUACUUCUGUCUGCCAGGUACCAACUUCAGUGCACAGCAUCCAUGUCCAAAGGGAACUUUUGGCCCCAGGGCUGGUGCCACUAGCAGCUCUGACUGCGAGCCCUGCCCAGCAGGCAUGUAUUGCUCAGCACCAGGUCUGUCCCAACCUUCUGGAUUGUGCUACUCAGGUUAUCACUGUGCCAGCGGAGCCACCAGCCCAGCACCCUUCAAACACAGGGUGAGUGAGUGCUGGGCAGCAGCAGAGUAAGCCUAGCUUCCUGGGGACAAGGACUGGACUGUCACAAUCUCACAGCUUGUAGUGUAAUGUUUUCCAAGUAUUACUGCUCUCUAUAGAGUUACUCUUGCCUGCUACUGCUGCCCUUGAGAGCUCCCCAGGUAGCCUAAUGUUCUGCUCUUAACAUCUGCUGGAACAUGG
rnacentral:lncRNA from 1 species